GUGGGACAGAGGUAGACUGAGUGGAUCAGGGGUAGACUGAGUGGGGUAGAGUUAGGCUGAGUGGGGUAGAGUUAGGCUGAGUGGAUCAGGGGUGGACUGAGUGGGGCAGAGUUAGACUGAGUGGAUCAGGGGUAGACUGAGUGGAUCAGAGGUAGACUGAGUGGAUCAGAGGUAGACUGAGUGGAUCAGGGGUAGACUGAGUGGAUCAGGGGUAGACUGAGUGGGACAGAGGUAGACUGAGUGGAUCAGGGGUAGACUGAGUGGGGUAGAGUUAGGCUGAGUGGGGUAGGGUUAGGCUGAGUGGAUCAGGGGUGCACUGAGUGGAUCAGGGGUAGACUGAGUGUGCCAGAGGUAGACUGAGUGGGUCAGGGGUAGACUGAGUGGAUCAGGGGUAGACUGAGUGGGUCAGAGGUAGACUGAGUGGAUCAGGGGUAGACUGAGUGGAUCAGGGGUAGACUGAGUGGAUCAGAGGUAGACUGAGUGGAUCAGGGGUAGACUGAGUGGAUCAGGGGUAGACUGAGUGGGACAGAGGUAGACUGAGUGGAUCAGGGGUAGACUGAGUGGAUCAGGGGUAGACUGAGUGGAUCAGAGGUAGACUGAGUGGAUCAGUGGUAGACUGAGUGGAUCAGAGGUAGACUGAGUGGAUCAGAGGUAGACUGAGUGGAUCAGAGGUAGACUGAGUGGAUCAGGGGUAGACUGAGUGGGUCAGAGGUAGACUGAGUGGGUCAGAGGUAGACUGAGUGGGUCAGAGGUAGACUGAGGGGUGCAGAGGUAGACUGAGUGGGUCAGAGGUAGACUGAGUGGGUCAGGGGUAGACUGAGUGGAUCAGGGGUAGACUGAGUGGAUCGGGGGUAGACUGAGUGGGUCAGAGGUAGACUGAGUGGGUCAGGGGUAGACUGAGUUGAUCAGGGGUAGACUGAGUGGAUCAGGGGUAGACUGAGUGGAUCGGGGGUAGACUGAGUGGGUCAGAGGUAGACUGAGUGGAUCAGGGGUAGACUGAUAGGAUCAGAGGUAUACUGAGUGGAUCAGGGGUAGACUGAGUGGAUCAGGGGUAGACUGAGUGGGUCAGAGGUAGACGGAGUGGAUCAGGGGUAGACUGAGUGGAUCAGGGGUAGACUGAGUGGGUCAGAGGUAGACUGAGUGGAUCAGGGGUAGACUGAGUGGAUCAGGGGUAGACUGAGUGGGUCAGAGGUAGACUGAGUGGAUCAGGGGCAGACUGAGUGGAUCAGGGGUAGACUGAGUGGGUCAGAGGUAGACUGAGUGGGUCAGAGGUAGACUGAGGGGUGCAGAGGUAGACUGAGUGGAUCAGGGGUAGACUGAGUGGAUCAGGGGUAGACUGAGUGGGUCAGAGGUAGACUGAGUGGAUCAGGGGCAGACUGAGUGGAUCAGGGGUAGACCGAGUGGGUCAGUGGUAGACUGAGUAGGUCAGGGGUAGACUGAGUGGAUCAGGGGUAGAGUGAGUUUAUCGGGGGUAGACUGAGUGGGACAGAGGUAGACUGAGUGGAUCAGGGGUAGACUGAGUGGGUCAGAGGUAGACUGAGUGGAUCAGGGGCAGACUGAGUG